rnacentral:lncRNA from 10 species
CAAAGUCUUAGGGGUCUUUAAGACACAAUUAGGCAAACCAAACCAUAUAUUAAUAGCAGCACCAAAAUGGGAGGAGAGAAAGAAAGGGGCAGACAAAAUACUCAAGAAAAUAAUGGCCCUAACUCUUCUGAAUUUGAUGAAGACCUUUGCACAUCCAAGAAGCUCAACAAACUCCAACAGGAUGAACACAAAGAGAUCCGCACCUAACACAUCAAAAGUUAAAGAGUUGAAAGACAAAGAUAAUAUUGAAAGCAUUAAGAGAAAAGAUGACUCAUCAUGCACAGGGUAACCCCAGUACUUUAGCAGCUGACUUCCUAUCAGAAACAACAGAGGCCAGAAGGCAGUGGUUAAGAUGACAUAUUUGAAAUGCUGAAAGACAACAAACAAACAACUGUCAACCAAGAAUCCAGCAACCUAUCUUUGAAAAAUCAAGGCAAAACAAAGACACAACCAAAUGAAUAAAGACUGAGAGAAUUUCUUGCUUCAAGCCUCGCCUUACAGAAACUACUAAAGGAAGUCACACCAGAUAGCAAUACAAACCCACAUGGUGAAACAAAGAGUGCCAAUACAUUCAAUUAUAAAGACAAAUUUUAAAUACGGGAUAAUAUAUUUUUUCCUCCAUUUCUCUCAAGCUGAUGUUUUUAAUUGCAUAAAACAGUAUUUAUAAAAUUUUAAUACUGAAAAAACCACAGUAAGAUUUAUACAUUAAAUUUGAACAAGAAUAUGACACCAUAUGGUAAUUCCAAUAUA